rnacentral:rRNA from 1 species
CCUACGGGUGGCAGCAGUGGGGAAUAUUGGUCAAUGGCCGGAAGGCUGAACCAGCCAUGCCGCGUGAAGGUCAGUGCCCUAUGGGCGUUAAACUUCUUUUGUGCGGGAGCAAUAAUGGUCACGUGUGGCCAGACGAGAGUACCGUACGAAUAAGCAUCGGCUAACUCCGUGCCAGCAGCCGCGGUAAUACGGGGGAUGCAAGCGUUAUCCGGAUUUAUUGGGUUUAAAGGGUGCGUAGGCUGUGAGGUAAGUCAGCGGUGAAAUGCCCCCGCUCAACGGGGUGAAGUGCCAUUGAAACUGCCUGGCUGGAAUGCGGAUGCCGUGGGAGGAAUGUGUGGUGUAGCGGUGAAAUGCAUAGAUAUCACACAGAACACCGAUUGCGAAGGCAUCUCACGAAUCCGCGAUUGACGCUGAUGCACGAAAGCGUGGGUAUCAAACAGGAUUAGAUACCCGGGUAGUC